UGCGUCAUCGUGGAAGAACAAAGAACGUCUUACUUUCUAAAUAAUCCUCAAGAUACAGCAUUUUGUUCCAGAAAUGAUCCGAAGACCUUUGACGGAAAUAACUUUAAAAUUGGAUGAUUUGCAAGAAUACGAAGCUUUUCGAAGAGAGCAAGGAAAUAAUUCCUCUACAGCUUCCGAAAUGCAGGAAGAUACCCCAAAACCCUUAGACACUCUCAAGACGAUCGAAGAAAUACACAAAAGAAUUGGAUAUGCUCCAAAGAAAAAACUCAGCGGCCCAAGCACCGUUUGAUUGAUAUGUAUUUAGAAACAUUGAAACAACUAUUGGUAAAUUCAUUUUUUAUUUGCACAUGAUAUUUAAAAAUAAGAUUCUCAAAUUUUGCUACGACGACAUCAUGACCUUAGCAACUAUGCAACAGUUAAUAUUAAAAAUCUGUGAGUUAGAGAGCAAAGUCGUACUUAUGUGCGUGAAUUACAAUAAUAUUUGCACUUUUUGUAAGUAAAUGUUUAAGUUAUAAAGCAUAUGAUAAUAAGAAUCGAUGAACAGCU
rnacentral:lncRNA from 1 species